CACCCCUCCCCUAUCAGGAACCCUAACUCCUCGAGCUCUCUCUUAGUCUCUCUAGCGCAGUGUCUCAGCGCUGGACCUCCUCCUUCUUCUCCGCCAUCGACGUCGCUGAACAGCACCAUCGUGGUGCAGUCCUUUCCUCUCCCUCUCCCUUCCUCGUAGGCUCGUAGCGCUCCUCUCUGUCCCUCAUCCUCGACGGCUCCACACACCACCUCUCCAGUAGCCGUCUCCUCCACGAACCAACAGCCGUCGUCGUCCUCAACGAACCGCAGCAGAACGCACCAGACGCAGUCGAAGCCGCUGCAGUUCGUCGCCCUCUCUCAUUUGUCGUUGAAGCCGUGUCGGUUUCCAGUCUCUUCUUCUCCGUCAUUGAAGCAGUGUUGUCCUUCCAUCUCAGGAAAGGGGAAGGUGAAAGACGAAGAAUUUCUGGAAUUAGUGCACCAAAUAAAAAUUGUUGAAUGAAUUUGGUUGUGUUUCUGAUUCUGUUUGGUUGUAUAUCUUGAUUCAGUUUGGAAUUGGUGCACCAUUUUUGCAAAAUUUUUGGAAUUAGUUUGGUUGUGUAUCUUGAUUUUCUUGAUUCAGUUCAGGUUGAUUUAUUUUGUUAGGUAUUGUUGCUGGUUAAAUUAUUGAUUUAUUUUGGUAAUUUGAUUCAUUGUUGCUGAUUUUGUUCUGUUUGUUGAAGUGUUUGCUGACUUGGUUAUUCAUUGAUGGAUUGCUGGCUUGCUGCUGGUUGUUGUUAACUUGUUAAUCAAUAAAUCAAUAAUUUCAGUUUUAUUGUUCUAUAUAUUUGUUGUUUGAUUGUUGAUUGUUGUUCAUUGCUGAUUGGUGUUCAUUAUUUUGUUGUUAUUUUUUGAAAUUGCUAGUAAUUACUUUGCUGUUCAUUGUUCAUGGUUGAUUGUUAUUCAUUGUUCAUUGUUGAUUGCUGGUUGUUGUUUAUUGUUCAUUACUGAUUUUUUAAUUAUUUGUUCAUUACUAAUUGUUUGAAAUUGUUAGUAAUUAGGUUGAUGAAGGUAGCUAUUUUGCUCAAAUUGUAGCUAAUUAGGUUAAUCUUUUUUUUUGAAAUAAUUGUUCAAAUUAAUCAUAAAAUCAAGUGCACUUUAAAUAAAGGUUGUAGUGGUCUAUGUGUGUGGAUCUUUUCUGAUUGGAGUAUUAGACAUGUCAGUAGUAAAAUUUUAACAUUGUUUGAUAAGGUAGUCCCUAGAAUGGGUCCUAAGAGAUGAUGGUGAAGAUUCACUUGUGACCUGAUCAAGUGCUUUUUUCAAUUAUUAUUGUUUUUAUUAUGUAAUUGUCUUUUGAUUUCAGUAGGUUUGCUUGAAGAAGUUUCAUUGUCUUGUUGGAGAGGACACCAAGACGUGGCUAUCUGUUGCUGGAAAUUUGUUUUUAUUUUUUAUUGUGUUGACUAUUGAACCUUUAAACUUCUUUAAUUGUCGUAUUUUAAUUUCUUUUUUUGUUGAAUUUCAUUGAAUUGAGACUUUUGUUAGUUAUGGUGUACUUGUAUUCUAUAAUUUUCAAUGUUAUGACUUUGCAUAAUA